ACUGGAAAAUACAGAUUCAUUAAUGGUUGCCUUGUUAUGAUUUUGCGGCGCAGAAAAGUGAGAUCUUUGCUCAAGUGACAUAUUUGUGCGACAGCUGAAUCAACAAUGCAAAACUUGAAGUUUUACCUCAUUUACAAUGUAUGAACAAUGAUGGCUUUUAAAGAAAGAGAGUCUCACAUUUGAGGGAGAAGCAAAUUGAGAUCAAGGUCUACUCAUCACGCAAUUGGAAAACCUGUUGAUUAACUAAUUAUGAACACUCUGCUAAUGUGGAUGGGACGAUCGAUUUUAUCACUUACGGGAUUGCAACGAUCCUGACAGAAUUGAACAUUCACUUGAAAGUUGACCACUGAAGUUUCACUGAACUUGAAUGCCUCAAAGCGGCCGAGCAAGGCUCCGGUUUCCUCUUCCUUGCGCAGUCCCGGGAAAACCGGGUCGGUGGGACAACCCCUUUCAUCCAAGAGUUUGAUCUCUUCAUCAUCCAAGCCACUUUGAGCGAUUAGAUUCCGGGCGAAAAUGUCAAAGAUACUCUCGCCAUCCAAUUCGAUACGUAGGAACAAGGGCUCGCCCAAUUUGGUGCCCGUGAUAUCCUGGCCCUCAGCAUUGACGAUACGCAAGAGAACUUGAGGCUGAGGAGCAGUCCCAUUGACAAUGGACGUGGGGAUCCCAGGAUCGCUUCUGGGAUCGGACGGGUCCCGAGGGCCUGCCCCGUCCACGGUUCUAUAAACAUUUCUGAUUUAGAAGACGUGGAAAGAGAGAAAGUGGGUCGGAUAGCCAAUGGAUGCAAAGGUCGAGAGUAGAAGGUCGGGGUUAGUCGUCAAAAGAGGUGGUCGGACAGAAUGAAGUGAAACGUAAGAGAAGGACAAAGGAGAAGAACAAAGGCUAUUAUUAUUAGUCAAACAAUUCACAUGCAACAAUACAAUCAACGCAUACACAGAGACCAUGCCAACGAACUUAAAGAGCAACAACAUGUGCAAGCUGUCCUAUUUGUGAUCUUGGAAGAUGAUCGAAGAUAUUUCAAGCGAUAUUUGCGGUUUCUAAACGCCCCCUUCUCAACAUGGCGGUGUUGUGAGAACAACUGCCUUCACAUAUGUAUGUAUGUUAGUCAUUUUUCUUCCAGUCAGCUAAUCGGUCAUGCUUGAGGUAGUACUGUAUUCUACUGGAUGAAGAUAUGAAAGAGAAGAAAAAAAGUCUAAUCCAUCAUCACUUACUCGGCAAUGACGUCAUAGCUGUUGGUGACCACCUUGUCGCCCGCAAUCUCGAAGAAGCAGUACAAUUUGAUAGCUCGAUCGCCUUUCUGCUGGAUGAUUGGAUGAUGUUGGACCACGAUAGUAUUGGUAAACACGCCCUCGGCCUCGCGUUCCGUGCCACACCUCUGAUUGGGAUCUUCAUACUCAAAUGUCAAGGCCGUCUGCGUGGUUCCCGUCCCUCUAAUUGCACAUUGCUUUGGAUUGCGGAAAGCAAAGAGUUUCCCCGUGAACGCCUCCUCUGUGUUCAGAGUGAUGGUCAUGGACGUGGCCGUGCAAACCAGACUCACUGUCAAGAAAUCAAGCGAUCAGACCUUCUGCUGGAGUCUGUGUAAUAAUACCCAGAGGGACAUGGAAAUCGGGGUGCGUUUUUAAGGUGAAAAUGCCAAGUGAGUUUUAUGGUCGUUGUGCGAUAAACCCUCAUGUCUGAUA